rnacentral:tRNA from 1 species
GCAGUCGUGGCCGAGUGGUUAAGGCGAUGGGCUAGAAAUCGAUUGGGGUCUCUCCGCAUAGGUUCGAAUCCCGUCGACUGCG